UGAACGCUGGCGGCGUGCUUAACACAUGCAAGUCGCACGAGAACGCUUCAGCUUGCUGAAGUAAGUAAAGUGGCGCACGGGUGAGUAACGCGUGGGUAAUCUACCCUCAAAUUGGGGAUAACCCGCCGAAAGGCGGGCUAAUACCGAAUGACAUCUUGAAUACUUAUGUUUUCAGGUUCAAAGGUGGCCUCUACAUGUAAGCUAUUGUUUGGGGAUGAGCCCGCGUACCAUUAGCUAGUUGGUAGGGUAAUGGCCUACCAAGGCUACGAUGGUUAGCUGGUCUGAGAGGAUGAUCAGCCAAACUGGAACUGACACACGGUCCAGACUCCUACGGGAGGCAGCAGUGAGGAAUUUUGCGCAAUGGGGGAAACCCUGACGCAGCAACGCCGCGUGAGUGAUGAAGGCUUUCGGGUCGUAAAGCUCUGUCAAGUGGGAAGAACUCAUAUGGUGUUAAUAUCGCCAUGUGCUGACGGUACCACUGAAGGAAGCACCGGCUAACUCC
rnacentral:rRNA from 1 species